AUUGAACGCUGGCGGCAGGCCUAACACAUGCAAGUCGAGCGGAUGAAGGGAGCUUGCUCCUGGAUUCAGCGGCGGACGGGUGAGUAAUGCCUAGGAAUCUGCCUGGUAUUGGGGGAUAACGUCCUGAAACGGGCGCUAAUACCGCAUCCGUCCUGAGGGAGAAAGUGGGGGAUCUUCGGACCUCACGCUAUCAGAUGAGCCUAGGUCGGAUUAGCUAGUUGGUGGGGUAAAGGCCUACCAAGGCGACGAUCCGUAACUGGUCUGAGAGGAUGAUCAGUCACACUGGAACUGAGACACGGUCCAGACUCCUACGGGAGGCAGCAGUGGGGAAUAUUGGACAAUGGGCGAAAGCAUGAUCCAGCCAUGCCGCGUGUGUGAAGAAGGUCUUCGGAUUGUAAAGCACUUUAAGUUGGGAGGAAGGGCAGUAAGUUAAUACCUUGCUGUUUUGACGUUACCAACAGAAUAAGCACCGGCUAACUUCGUG
rnacentral:rRNA from 1 species